ACUUAUUUCCUGUUCCUCGUAUCAUAAAAUCGUAUCACGUGCACUCCUCUUCUCAUGUUUGCCUGCUCAUGUGAGGCCGAAUGUUUCCAAGUUCGUGGUUAUUUAGACGCCCUUUCAUGAAACAUCCGGUUUCUAUGCCGCUGUAUACUGUUGUCUAUAUUUAUGUACCUUUUGGUUCUACUAGGAGUUCAUAAUUGAGCCAUGCAUUUUGUUUCUAAUAUUAUAUCUAAUUUCUCGGUGUACCUCGAGGACCACUUUACUAUUCACUGUUGCUUUAUCAGUUUUAAUGAGUUUCUUAUUUGAACUAUAGUGUUCUUAAUUCAUUAUUGACAGAGUGGCGAAUGCUCAGAAAGAUGGAACAUUCUGGAACAUUCUAGAACAUUUUGUUUACACUGACAGGUCUUGUAUGAAUUCACACUGAACAAGUUUAUUCACCAACAUAACCGAAGCACGUGCACAGAGUGUCACGUUACAAAGGGUCUCAGCGCAUGAUCUCCUGGUGUCCAGUAGUCUCAGUUUGGUAUCAAAUGGCUGCCAAUGAUAGGGCCCGUCACGAGCCGACAGCGAAGAGUCGUUACAAACCUAUUUACCCGUGCAUGAUCAUGGAGACCAUGAAGAUAUUUUUAAGCAACGUCUUGCUCCAUCUUUUCGUGCACUCCUAAUCGAUCAGUCGUUUCUGUUUCUUUCGAAGUCACUGAAGCAGAAAAUCUUUCAUUCCUCAGGGAAUUGAAGGGCCAUCGACACGUCCACCUGCUGAUGGAGCCCUGAUCCUCCUGGAAUCAUCCUCGGCAACAAACUCGAUUUUUCCUUUCUUUGUGAUGAUGGCUGAGUUACGGUGUCGAUGUUAACCUAUUUCUGUGGAAUUUUGAUUUAUGGAAUUUUGAUCUGUGGAAUCUUUUUCAGGUUUUUAUGGUGGGUUUGUGUCAAUCAUUGCAGUUAUUGGUUUAUGGAAAUGUAACAUGUACUAAGCAUACAAGCACAGGUACAUUGAUAUAACUUGCACUGGUAUGAUUAAUGACUGUUGACGUUUAUAUCACUCAGAGAGUAUGGAACUCCGUAUAGGUAAAGAGAGAGUAUUAGGUACAUACACUAUGUCCAUUAUGACUUUGUAAACAAAACUUAACCUCUAAAUACCACAGGACUUUGUAAGGACAUAGGUUAUGCCAGGAACCCAAUGACAUAUAUAUACAAUGUGCACACACUAUAUCCAUUAUGACUUUGUAAACAAAAUUUAACUUCUAAAUACCACAGGACUUUGUAAGGACAUGGGUUAUUCCAGGAACCCAAUGACACAUAUGUACAG